rnacentral:rRNA from 1 species
UACGUAGGGUGCAGGCGUUAAUCGGAAUUACUGGGCGUAAAGCGUGCGCAGGCGGUUUUGUAAGUCUGUCGUGAAAGCCCCGGGCUUAACCUGGGAAUUGCGAUGGAGACUGCAAGGCUUGAAUCUGGCAGAGGGGGGUAGAAUUCCACGUGUAGCAGUGAAAUGCGUAGAGAUGUGGAGGAACACCGAUGGCGAGGGCAGCCCCCUGGGUCAAGAUUGACGCUCAUGCACGAAAGCGUGGGGAGCAAACAGG